GAAACUCCCGCUGGUCGCGGCCGUUGCAGCUGCAGCUGCUAUUUCCGCCACAUUUCCGACGAGAGCUGCGGCGCCGCCACCAGACCGGAUUUUGUCCAACCCAGCCAGAGACAGCCACUCUCCGGAGACUGGGAGAAGAGCGACGGCUCCUGGGAGUCCGCUCGCGGAUAGCAGCUGUGGAAGAUGCUCUUGUACCCCUGAGAUGCCGGCGGCUCGGGCAAUAUCGGGGAGCUCGAAUUUCAGAGGCAGUGACGCGUGGUUGGUGAGCGAUUCAAGUGCAGUCCGAAGGCCGAGUGCGUCACCCAAAGGCUGUGUGAGAAGCGAAGCCGCCGCUUCACCUCCGGCAAGCACACUGCCGAGAGGUAGGUCGAGGAUAUCCCGUCCCACGGCCCCAUUGCCGUCGACAAGUUGUGAAAGUGGAAUGUGGAGCAACUGGGGUGGCAGAAGAGCAUUCAUCUGAAGAUCUCCUACCGUUCGCGCCAGCAAACCGCUGCCGUCCUCAAAAAGUGUUGUCGGAAGGUCCAACCCAAGCGAAGCGGCCGCCGCACGAGCUCCCGGUAGAAGUUCGCCGAGAGGGAGGGCUUUCAGUUGAGAAGCAGCAGAGUGGACGUCAAGUAGCUCUGGCAAUGUUCGCCCAGCGAAAUCCGCAGGGAUAAUUCCGGAAGAAACCCACUGGCCGAGAGGAACGUUCAGCAACUGACCAGGGAAGACUCCUGUCCGCAAAAGAUCAGCCGUAGGGAAAGCCAGCGUUGGAAGGGCCAGUGUGUUGUUGGCAAACAAGUCUUCGACGAGUGGAGGAAGGGAAAAGAGUGGACGGGCCUGAUAGGAUUGAAACAGAACAUGACAGUGGUGAUGGAUAUGAACGACUACCGGUUGACCAUCGGUCCAUACGUCCGAUUGUUAUCAAACUGAAAUGGAAUCGACGAAUGUCGAGCUUCGUUUUCCGGUGUACUCGCGUUUCUAGCAUGAUCGCAAUCGGGCGGAAAGCUUCCACCAAUUCCGCCUUCAUGGGGAAUUAUGUUGCUCAGACUCGUUGGGGCUAGUAAACACUUUUUCUCGUCUUGGCACUCACACCGAUACGAUGUCGGUUACAAAUCGCCUGCUGUCGUGGCUGUCUUCAUAGCUUGGCUCUGCUUUGGUUAAAAGAAUGGAUUACCUCGUCGGAUCCAGCGGCCGAUCCUUGGGUUGCCCGCGAAAGUAUGUCCUUCAGUGCGCCCCUGAGCCCAGCGCCGUCGACUCCAUGAAGGUUAUUCAGGAGGCUGCCAAAAAUAUGCGGAUCCACUAAAACUAGGCCGUCUUCUC
rnacentral:lncRNA from 1 species